GUUAUGAACUUCAUGUUUUCUUUCUUUAAAACUCUUUUCAGAUUGUGUGUUAAAUUUGGAAUAAGUGGAAGUUUAACAAAUUUAACAAUAUCAUUGUCUAUGUUAUUUGGGCGAAUAUCGUUGACUGGAAUAGCAUUAGGAAUUCUAGAAGGUUCCAUCUAAUCCAGUUUUUAGUGCCUGUGUGAUGUCGAAACAUUUGAAUUACCAAUAUUAUUGUAAAAGUAUUUAUUUCGCCUGAAGAAGAGAUAAAUCCCAUCUCGAAACUGUCGCG